GGGAUGCGUAGUAGUUGCUACCGUAAACCGUUAUCAUAAGAAAUAACUAUUCGGUUUAUACUGUGUGAUCUUGUUACAGUGUCAGGACGAAGAGAUCAAGGAAGGCUCCUGCCCACAAGCAGCUUGGUCUCGUAGGGAAAAGAAAGAAACCAAGUGAAUACGGCAAGAUUUCCUAGGGAACUCGUCCCAGUCGUUUGGGCCUCUGUAUCACCAAGUACCAUAGAUUGGGGGUCUUACAAAGAGAGUUAUUUCUCACAGUUCCGGUGGCUAGAAAUCUGCGAUCAGGGUGCCAACGUGGUCAAGCUCUGGUGAGAGCCCACUUCUGGGUUGUGGACUGCCAAAUUCUUGUCCUCACAGGGCGGAGGACAGAGAAGGGAAGCAGGCUCUCUCACGACUCUUACGAGGGCCCUGAUGUCAUCGACAAGGGCCUCACCCUCAAGAACUCCUCAAUUUCUUACUUCUCUCCCAAAGGGCCACCACUCCACAUCCCAUCAAGGGAUGGGUUUCAACAUAUGAAUUUUAGAGGGACACACACAUUCGGUCCAUGGCGGAGUUUGUGGGCCUGCAGCUCCUGUGCACUGGGUACCCGAAGCCCACGAGAAGGAAAUCAGAGUCCCAGCAAAGGGGGCUGGGAAACAAGAUGUCCCUUCAGGGUGUGGCUCUACAUGGGGAUGCCGCCCAGUGACCCGACAUCGUGGCAAUGUUUUCUAACUUCUUGGACGUCGUCUAAUUCUGCCUGCCCCUUGGUUGGGGAGAAAAUCUAUUUAAAAAGAAUCACUGAGGUUAAGAUUUAGUUAGGGUCGGGAUUGUAUAACUCUACUUUUUGUGCAGAACACAAACAAAUUUUGUGUAGGUAUGAGGAAAAGAAUUUGUAAUCUUUUCCCCAGACUGAAAGGUAUUUAGAUACGUUCAAGCUUCACAUUUUACUUUCCUUUGUUAAUUAGUGGGGACAUCUGCAUUAGCACAGGGUCAUUAAUUUAGGACCUAGUGAGUCUUUUCCACCUCUAACUUCACUGACGAAAGAGAAUGAGACAAAAAGGAACUGUUUGAUCAAGACUGCUCCCACAGAUUUAAAAGAUGGUCCUUGAAUUACAUUAAAGAUAUUGAUUUCACUGUUGUCUGCCUACUUUGCUGUGAGACAAACAUAUUAACCAAAAAUAGAGGCACUAAGAUGGAUUUUGUACGACUACUUACUCAAUCAUUAACAUGAAAGCAUAUUGCCAUUCUCUUUAACUUCCAAAUAAAACCAAUGUCAG
rnacentral:lncRNA from 1 species